rnacentral:lncRNA from 10 species
CCUAGGUGUUUUCCAGUUAUGUAGGUGGUUAGCCUGAGGAUGUGAAUGCCGGUCUGUGCUACUCUUCUUAAAGAAUUUUCUGCAAAAGGCAGAGGCAGCUGACAUCUUCAAAAGUUUAAGCCUUUCUACAGCAAAACUGCAGCAGCUCUAUUACAUUGAAACAGAAGGAUGAUGGGAGGGAAAUUCCUUUGGGUUCUUUGCUUGCCUAUCAAGAGGACAUCAGUCAAAAAUGCCAGUCUGAGGAGUUUGAAUUUAAUCCUGUGAUUCAGUGAUCCCAAAGGCGCUGUGUCUUCUCAAAAGAUGCAAAAGAUGGUAUGCAUCUUGUUCCUCUUUCAGACACAGGUGAAAAUUGAAGUUUCUAGAAACUGGAGUUUCCUUCUCAUCUUGUUGGCAUCUUCCCCUGGGGAGAGGGGUAAUACCUCCACAGGAACCUAGAGGUGAUGGUGUCCAGUAGCCAUGAGAUACCUGCUGCCCAGAAUGGGUUUCUAAAGGCUAUUAAAAGGAACCAGAUCUCUUGGAGAAUGGCUGAUCCUAGGCUUGAUUCAAGGAAAGUUCAAGGUGAGAAUGGGAAUCUUACCAUGCCAGAAAGCAAAAAAGUGUCAAAAGCCAAUGAAGUCAUGUCGAAAGGUUAAGGACUAGCUUGACAGCCUUCCCACCAGGGAAGAAUUUUAGAAGAAUUUGAGCAUUAUUAAGAAUGAUAAAUGUUAGUGAUUGUAAAAUGUGGAGUAAAUAAAAAUAUCUACAUCUGUAGUUAUAAAAAAGAAAGGAAGAAUGAGAAAAAGAGGAGGUCUGGAAGUAACUACUGUAAAACUCUUUCCUCUGGAAAUGGGUAACGAUGUGGAAAAAUUAGCAUUUACUCUGCCUUUAUAAACCAAUCAGUGGUUCAUCUCAAGUUGAUGAGGAAAUGCUUCUCAUCAUGGGAGAAUGCCAGCUAAGAAAUAUAAAGGAUGACAGAAUUUAAAAACAAUUAUUCAACUCUCAUAUGCUAUGGGGAGAAACACAAGAUGGUCCAGCCACCAUGAAAAAGAAUUUAGCAGUUUCUUAUGAAGUUAAACACACAUUUACUAAACAACUUAGUGAUUCUACUUCUAAGUAUUUACCCAAGUGAAAUGAAAACUUUAGUUCACACAAAGGCCUGGAAGAGAAUGUUUCUACGACUUUAUUUGGAAUUGCUCCAAACUGAACACAACCCAUCUGUCCUUCAAUUUGGGAAUUUGGGACUGAAUAAACAAGCUGGCAUACAAUGGAACACAAUGGAAUACGUGGAAUACGGUUCAGUAAUAAAAAGGAAAAAACUGCUGAUGCAUAGAACAACAUGGAGGGAUCUCAAAUGCAUUGUGCUAAGUGAAAAAAAAAACCAGACUCAAAAGGCUGUACAAUGUAUAAUUCUAGGUGUGUGACAUUCUGGAAAAAGCAAAUCUAACAGGACAGAAAAAAGAUCAGUGGCUGCCAGGGGCUGGGGCUGGGCGAGAGUUGACAUGGAGGAAUUUGGAGGGGAUAGUGGAACUGCUCUAUAUCUUUUUUUUUUUUUUUUUGAGAUGGAG